UCUGUCACCCAAGUAUCUUUACUUUUGAGUGGGAUUCUCAUAUUCUCUUCUGAAAUACUGAUUUGUGGAAAGAAUCCAUACGGGACUUGGAUGCAGACUGGGCCUGCCUUAGAAUCUCAGCUUCACUGGUAGCUGUGAACGUGCCUUGGGAGAGUCACAGAACUCUGCUGCUCCUGUCUGUGAUGGGUGUCAUUGAUCCUACCUGAGAUGUUGGUGGAAGGAAAUCACUAAACAAAUCCGUCAGAGCAAAACCGUGGUGUGGAGGAUGGUCUAUUGGAUGCGAUCCACUGGGGCAAAGAUUUAUUAGGCGGACAACCCCUUCUUCUACCCAACAGCAAAUCCAUUACAAUAAUGGGCUUCGAACCCAUCUGCAGGCAAACAGCGGGUCAGGAGGAGCCCGAUGUGUGGACACUGAGCAAUCUGAACAUGGCUGCCUUUUACAAUGUGUGAAGCCAGGCAGAAAAGCAGCACAUUUGAUUGAGAACAGAGGAGAGCGGCCAGAAUCUGCCUUCCCUUUGCUCCCGCUUCCGGGGGGAUUCAUGGCGGGGGAUCUGGAGGCGACACUUGGCAGCCAAGGGCGUGGGGCCAAAUGGAGGGCCCGGAACUCAGAAAGAGAGGAGGGGGAGCUAAUUAAUGCUUUGUCCUGCCUGCCCUUCUCUCCUCCCUACCCCCAGCGGCCAACAACUA
rnacentral:lncRNA from 1 species